rnacentral:ncRNA from 1 species
CUUUCUUAGCUAAUCCUAACGGAAAUAUAGUUUCUUACAAACAUGCACAUGAAGGUGAUAUAUUCUUAAGUUUACCUCUAGUAGUUUUAGCAAUUUUCUCUAUAUAUUUUGGUUAUAUAACUAAAGAUAUUUUUAUAGGUUUAGGAUAAUAAUAAAGGCAUGAAAACUGCCGCUUUAGGAUGAAGAUAAAUAUCGUCGGGAUAGGUAGUAGUGAAGGUAAUGUCUUCACUAGCUUUAAAUUCUCGUAACCGUAACUGAAAGGUUGAUCGGUCACAUUGGGUCUGCAAAAAGCCCAAUGCAAAGUUAGUACAGCAGUGGGGAAUUUUGGUCAAUGGCCUAAGGGCUGAACUGGCAAUUUGGGUAAACGAAAAAGAAUUGUUACCAUUAAAAUAAAGUUUUAAGUACGUAUUAAUAAUGAUAAUAUGUAUAAAAGUCUUGACCAAUUACGUGCCAGCAGUCGCGGUAAUACGUAAGAGACGAGCAUUAUUCAUCUUAAAUAGGUUUAAAGGGUACCCAAACGGUCAAAAUACCUUUAAUAGAGGAGUACUUGACUAGAGUUUUAUGUGAGAAGACCGUACUUGAGGUGGAGAGAUGAUAUUCUUUGAUACCAAAAGGACUGAUAAAGGCGAAGGCUGUCUUUUAUGUAAUAACUGACGUUGGAGGACGAAGGCAUAGAGCACUAACAGGAUUCGACACCCUAGUAGUCUUUGCAGACAAUGAUGAAUGCCAUGAACUAGAUUGCAAAUUUAGUUUUAUAAAUGAAAAUGCAAGCAUUUCACCUCAAGAGUAAUGUGGCAACGCAGGAACUGAAAUCACUAGACCGUUUCUGACACCAGUAGUGAAGUAUGUUAUUUAAUUCGAUGAUCCACGAAAAACCUUACCAUAACUUGAAUAUCUAUUAUAUAGAUACAGGAGUUGCACGGCUUGUUUUACAGUUUAAU